CGACCGUGGUAUCAGCAGCAGCGAGAGUCCUUUGACAUUGUUCCGCGUUGUCUUAAAUGCUAUCACUAAUUAGCUAGCUAGGUAGUGUGGGCGGUAAAUUGUGUGCGAGGCAGCAAAAUACAAAAAGCGAUCACCGACCGCCGCACUUCUAGCGACGCACAAGCGGCAGCCAGGAAUCCUGGCCCAGGAUCUCGUCGACCGCCGGUCCCCAACGUUAAUUCCGGCAGCCCGGUAGGGGUUCAAAGUUUUGGUUCCCGACUCGAAUCCGAGUGGGAAAAGGAGCUGGACACGACCGUCAAUUCGUCCCUCCCGGAACGUGAGCCGUCAACCAAAGCGUUCCGAAAAGGUAGUACUCUACUUUAUCGACCAACGAAAGGAGUGAGUACCCAUAAAAACAUGCGCAUGUAAUUAUAUAAACAAAUGAUCAUUUGCUAAUAAUUCAA